rnacentral:rRNA from 1 species
UACGAAGGGUGCAAGCGUUAAUCGGAAUUACUGGGCGUAAAGCGCGCGUAGGUGGUUCAGUAAGUUGGAUGUGAAAUCCCCGGGCUCAACCUGAGAACUGCAUCCAAAACUGCUGAGCUAGAGUACGGUAGAGGGUGGUGGAAUUUCCUGUGUAGCGGUGAAAUGCGUAGAUAUAGGAAGGAACACAGUGGCGAAGGCGACCACCUGGACUGAUACUGACACUGAGGUGCGAAAGCGUGGGGAGCAAACAGG